UACACUUAUUUAUGUUUUUGUUUAACUUGUGGACAAAGACUUAUAGACAGGUGCAAAAACUAAAUCAUCUUUUCCAACCCAGAACUCAUUGUUCAGUAUGAGUUUUGAUACAUAUAAGAAGGCAUAUU
ensembl:snoRNA